rnacentral:rRNA from 1 species
AUGGGUCGGUCAAGUGGAAGCCUCGCAGUCGCCAUGACGACGCUAGUAGCUUCGGUUCUCAUCCCCCAGCUUCUCCUUGCGCCCACGCCCGUCUCGUCGUCGCCGGCCGUCCUGGUCCCGCUCCUCCGAACGGCCGUCAUCCGUGCGUCCCCGCUCUUGAGGAACCUGGUCAAAGCUUUCUUGCAAGAGCAAGCGAAGCAGGGUGUGAUGCAGCUCAUCUGGAAGGCGGCGGGGCACCUAAAGGACAAGCUGCUGGGCGGCGUGGGAGCCGACGCCGCCGGCCUGGUCGUCUUCGACAUAUCCAUCGGGACGUCCCCCGCGCAGGCCGUCUCCGGGGUGUUGGACAUAACCUCCCAGCUAGUCUGGGCGCAGUGCGCGCCCUGCGACGCCUGCCGGACGCCAGCCUUCCGGCCCGCCGAGUCAGCGUCCUUCUCCAAGAUCCCCUGCGGCAGCCCGACGUGCCCGCGCGUGCUGGGCGACCGGACUGCCUGCGUCGGCGACGGCGACUGCGCGUACAACGCCACGUACUACGGCGCCGGCAACCAGUCCAAUGCCUACACGGAAGGCUCCUUCGCCACCGAGACGUUCACCUUCGGCGCGACGUCCGUCCCAGGCAUCGUGUUCGGCUGCGUGGCCAGUACCACGGUGCAGCUCUCCGGCGGCGCGUCCGCGUUGUUCGGCUUCGGCAGGGGGAACAUCUCCCUCGUGUCGCAGCUCGGGCUCUCGAGGUUCUCCUACACUCUGGCGUCCGACGACGCGGACGGCUCCGAGAGCGUCAUCCGUCUGGGCGACGCCGCCGUGCCGCAGAGUCAGCGCAGCCGCUCCACGCCGCUACUUAGAAGCGUCAUGCAACCUGACCUGUACUACGUCGGGCUCAGCAGCAUACAGGUCGACGGCCAUGACCUCGACGGCAUCCCGGCGGGGACGUUCGACCUCCAGGCGGACGGCUCCGGCGGGGUAUUCCUGAGCUCGACCUGGCCGGCGACCUACCUCGAGGAGACCGCAUACGGCGCCCUGAGGCGCGCGCUGAUGAGCAGCAUCGAGUCUCAGGGUGUGACUCCGGUGGACGCGGAGGACCUCCACCAGCUGUGCUACAGGAGGUGGUCCUUCUCCUACGUGACGGUGCCGGCGCUAACGCUGGUGUUCGAUGGCGUGAACGCGACGAUGGAGGUCAAACCCGAAAAUUACUUCUUCAAGGACGGGUUGAAAGUGUGCCUGACCGUACUGCCGUCGAAAGGUGUAUCGGUCCUCGGCAGCCUGCUGCAAACGGGCACCAACAUGAUCUUCGACAUUGGAAGUGGCCUGCUCACGUUCGAGACACCCACGCCCUAG